rnacentral:rRNA from 1 species
UACAGAGGGUGCAAACGUUGCUCGGAAUCAUUGGGCGUAAAGCGCACGUAGGCGGCCCAGCAAGUGGGGAGUGAAAGCCCUCGGCUUAACCGAGGAAGUGCUUUCCAAACUACUGGGCUUGAAUACUGGAGAGGGUCGCGGAAUUCCCGGUGUAGAGGUGAAAUUCGUAGAUAUUCGCAAGAACACCAGUGGCGAAGGCGGCUCACUGGACCGGUACUGACGCUGAGGUGCGAAAGCGUGGGGAGCAAACAGG